GACGAACGCUGGCGGCGUGCUUAACACAUGCAAGUCGAACGGAAAGGCCCUGCUUUUGUGGGGUGCUCGAGUGGCGAACGGGUGAGUAACGCGUGAGUAACCUGCCCUUGACUUUGGGAUAACUUCAGGAAACUGGGGCUAAUACCGGAUAGGAGCUCCUGCUGCAUGGUGGGGGUUGGAAAGUUUCGGCGGUUGGGGAUGGACUCGCGGCUUAUCAGCUUGUUGGUGGGGUAGUGGCUUACCAAGGCUUUGACGGGUAGCCGGCCUGAGAGGGUGACCGGCCACAUUGGGACUGAGAUACGGCCCAGACUCCUACGGGAGGCAGCAGUGGGGAAUAUUGCACAAUGGGCGGAAGCCUGAUGCAGCAACGCCGCGUGCGGGAUGGCGGCCUUCGGGUUGUAAACCGCUUUCACCUGUGACGAAGCGUGAGUGACGGUAAUGGGUAAAGAAGCACCGGCUAACUACGUG
rnacentral:rRNA from 1 species